AACGAAAAUACAGCAGCAACAAUUUUCUCAACGAAAAGUGGUCACGAGUGACACCGACACGAUGUCUCACAUGCUUUAUGCAGAAUUUAUAACUAUUUUUGAGGCGGCAGACAUUCUAUGUGGCACGACAAAAAACGUUCAUUUUAUG
ensembl:ncRNA F26F12.15 ncRNA